GACAGCCCGGAGCUGGCGCACAGUAAAGUCUUCAGAUAGGAGGGGCAGAGUGAGGGUGCCACCGUCGGGCAGCAGGUGCCCACCCAGAAGGGUCUUUGAGCCUUGCGGGGAAGUUCAGACUUUACCCUGAGGAUAAAGGAGGUCCUGGACCCGCAGGAGGAUGCCCUGAGUGGCUGUACCAUUUUGCAUUCCCAGACCGAAGUGUGAAAGCUCCAGAUGCCCCACGCCCUCACCAGCCCACGGUGUUGUCAGCCUUAAUAGUGCUGACCAUUCUGCCUGUUAAUAUGAUGAAUUACACUGAUUCAGUUUCAAAUGUCCAACCAAGCUUGCACUCCAGAGAUGAAGCCCACUUGAUCACAUGGAUUAUUCUUUUAAUAUAUGAUGGAUACGACUUGGCUGUUCUUUUGUUGAGGAUUUUUGUGUUUAUGUUAAUGAGGAUAUUAUUUGUAGUUUUCUUUUCUUGUAAUGUUUUUGUCUUUGUUCAGUGUCAGAGUAAUGCCAACUUCAUAAAGUGAGCUGGGAAGUACUCCCUCAUUUUCUGUUUUCUGUGAAAGAAUUGUAUAGAAUUGAUGUUAUUUCUUCCUUAAGUGUUGAGUAGAAUUCACUUGCAAAGCCAUCUGAGGUUGACAUCUUCUUUGGGAAUGACUUUAGCUAUAAAUUCAAUUUAUUUAACA
rnacentral:lncRNA from 1 species